rnacentral:rRNA from 1 species
UACGGGGGGAGCAAGCGUUGUUCGGAUUUACUGGGCGUAAAGGGCGCGUAGGCGGCCUCUGCAAGUCGACUGUGAAAUCUCCGGGCUUAACCCGGAAAGGUCAGCCGAUACUGCAGGGCUAGAGUGCAGAAGGGGCAACUGGAAUUCUCGGUGUAGCGGUGAAAUGCGUAGAUAUCGAGAGGAACACCUGCGGCGAAGGCGGGUUGCUGGGCCGACACUGACGCUGAGGCGCGAAAGCUAGGGGAGCGAACGGG